rnacentral:rRNA from 1 species
AAUGAACGCUGGCGGCAGGCCUAACACAUGCAAGUCGAGCGAAUGAAGGGAGCUUGCUCCCGGAUUCAGCGGCGGACGGGUGGGUCAUGCCUAGGAGUCUGCCUUGUCGUGGGGGAUAACGUCCGGAAACGGGCGCUAAUCCCGCAUCCGUCCUGAUGGCGAAAGUGGGGGAUCUUCGGACCUCACGCUUUCUGAUGAGCCUAGGUCGGAUUAGCUAGUUGGUGGGGUAAAGGCCUACCAAGGCGACGAUCCGUAACUGGUCUGAGAGGAUGAUCAGUCAGACUGGAACUGAGACACGGUCCAGACUCCUACGGGAGGAAGCAGUGGGGAAUAUUAGGCAAUGGGGGAAAGCCUGAUACAGCAAAGCCGCGUGUGUGAUGAAGGUCUUCGGAUUGUAAAGCACUGUAAGUUGGGAGGAAGGACAGUAAGUUUAUACCUGGCUGUUUUGACGGUACCAACAGAAUAAGCACCGGCUAACUUCGUG